GGCAGCUAAACUCAUUGGAAUACUUAUUAUUCUCCAGAAGACAUUUUCACACUCAUCUGGAGCACUGUGUGAACCUUUUACUUCAGGUUAACAUACUAGCUAUGCACUUUUUUUUUUUCAACUGUGUGAAGAUUUAACAUGAGGAUUAUAACCCAAAACAAAAGAUUGCUACGUACAAUGGAGCUUUGUAGCGACCACCACGCUCCCUGCUUUUGGAACGGCUGCGUCGUCUCUCCCUGCUGCGGCUGCGCUUCCGAUCUUUGCUGCGGCUCCUCCUGCGGUCAUGGCUUCUCUUGCGAUCACGACUCCUGCUUCUU